rnacentral:ncRNA from 1 species
AUAUUAAAGAGUUACAAUUAAAAAGUUUGAUUUUAGCUUUAAAAAAUUGUUUUUUUUUGUAAAAAUAUAUGCAAUUUUUAAAAAUUUAUAAUCUAAAUGAUAAAGUUAAUUGUGCAGUAUUUUAUAUUAAUAUUUAAGUUAUCUUAGAUUUAGUUAAUAAAUUUAGUUCUGACGAAUCUUGUGCCAGCAGUCGCGGUUAUACAAGGGGGGCAAGCAAUUUUUAUUAGUUAAUAUUUUAUUAUUUUAUGUUUUAUUCAUUUUUUAAUUUUUAGGUGAAAUUAUUAUUGAUAAUAAUUAAUAAGUGAUGAUUAAAUAUGAAAGUUCAUUAUGAAACUAGGAUUAGAUACCCUAUUAUUAUGAAUUGUUGAAGAGUUACUUUAGUAUUAAUAGAUAUGUUCUUUAAAUUAAAAAAAUUUGGCGGUAGCUCAGUCUUUUUAGAGGAAUCUGUCCUGUAAUUGAUGAUCCACGUUGAAUAUAACUUUAUUUAUGCUUGUAUAUCUCUGUCAUUAGAAUGUUUUAUGAGAAUUAAUUUUCUUUUUUAUUAUAUAAUAAAUGUCAGGUCAAGGUGCAGCAGUAUUAAAGGAGAGAUGGAUUACAUUAAAAUUAUUUUUGGAUUAAAUUAUGGAAAUUUUUAUGAAAUUGGAUUUAAAAGUAAUUUAUAUUAAAAUAUAUUUUUGAUUAUAGCUCUGGGCUAUGUACAUAUCGCCCGUCGCUCUCAUUGUUUAGGUGAGAUAAGUCGUAACAAAGUAGACCUACCGGAAGGUGGGCCUAGUAUGAAUA